AGUAACGGCGAGUGAAGCGGCAACAGCUCAAAUUUGAAAUCUGGCCCUCUCAGGGUCCGAGUUGUAAUUUGGAGAGGAUGCUUCGGGUGUGGCCCCGGUCUAAGUUCCUUGGAACAGGACGUCACAGAGGGUGAGAAUCCCGUACGUGCCCGGUGGCCGCCCCCGUGUGAAGCUCCUUCGACGAGUCGAGUUGUUUGGGA
rnacentral:rRNA from 1 species